GUAGCUCAGGAAUGCCAAUCAUUCAACUCUAUUUUGUUGUCUUUUUCAAAGGGUGAUUAGUUCAAUUAUUGGGCCUAAUCAGUGCUGACAAUUCAAAUAGGCUUGAUAACUUUACUCAUCAGCCACCUUCAUGGAUAGAGAAAGAACACCCAGUUCAAAGCAUUGGGCAAAGUGUGAUGCGUGCUUAGGUUAAUGAGAAGGUGGCAUAACCUCAUCUUAUGGAGCCACAUCUUUAUGAUGACAUCCAUGGGGUCGUGUGUAACUCAUUGAGCUUGUGUAACUACAUCUAUCAAACCCCCCAAAUCUAUUCGUGCUCAAGAACCCUAACUUUUUUAUUUCAUUCAAAAACCAAAUCUGUGUGUGAUGCACUUGCAAAAUGCAGCAGCAACAAAGAAAACGAGUUUUUUUUUCCAUUACGAUUUAGCUAAACCUUUAAUGAAUUCACAUUGCAUGGAAAGAAAAUGAAAAGAGCACGGGCGUACUCGUGGUGAAUGCCGGCGAUGAUCUCCUUCCCACGCCGCCGGCAGCAUCUCCUCUCUCCCUCUCCCCCUCUAUCUGCACUUGGUGUUCGCCGCGGGCAAUUGCUGCUUGUUCUCGCCGGUGGCUUGGGAAUACCAUUUUGUACUCAUCGACGCCUGCGACGGUAGCACAAUUCGAUUCGGCUCGAUAUUAAGCCGGAUUCUAGGAUUAGGGUUUUCUGACUGCGGUGAGAUGGGGCAACAGUCGUUGACCUACAGCUUCGUGGCGCGCGGGACGGCAUUCCUGGCGGAGCACACGGAGGUCGCCGGCAACUUCAACAGCAUCACCGCCAGCAGAGGCUCCUCUCCAGCAACAAAAAGUUUUCCUCAUCGAGGACGGAUACGGGAUACAGUGAGCUCCCUUGUGGCUUUGGUCAAAUUCAGCAAUUAUACUCUUUAAAGGAAAAAGUAGCUCGCCAAAUAGAAUUCUGAUGUUGGCGUUCCAAAAAUAACAUUCAUACAUGGAGGUGAUAGUCAGCAGCAACAAAAACAAAAACAAAAAAGCACGAUGCAAGUUCGACCAUGUACAGGCGUCCUGUUGUUAGAUAUGGUCAGCAAGCACAGGGAGAAGAUGUGAUUGUGUUCCAUGGCAGUUUUCACAGAGUUUAUACAACAAAACUGAUGGAGAAGCCGUAGGGUGUUUAACCUUUUAUGACUGCAACUUCCAUAGGCAUCGUGCUGAUCCUGUCAUGUGUUGGGCAAGGUAGCUUUUCCAUCACUAGCCUUACUGCCAACAUGAGCACAAAAGAAACAAUGAAAGAAUUCUUUGUUAAGUAAGCAGCAUGACACCAGCAUCACUAGCCCUUGCAUCUCUUUGGUGUCAUCUCAUGUUACAGCAUUGAGGCUUUCCUGCUUGCAAUUUAUCCCACAUGCAUGUCAUUUGCCUUGGAGACUGGUAAUGUGCAGUGUAGUAACCGUCAAUGCAUCCGAACUGGCAGAACUUGAGGCUGUGAACGUAUUCAAUUGCUCUGGAGUUAUUGAACUGCUCGAGCCACAUGCCCAUGCUCACAUCUUCCAUUUUAAACAACUGCAUCAGUUUUGAAUUUGAAGAUCAUGCAUCAUAUCAUACUUCCAUCAUUAUAAAGGAAGAGGAAGAAGAAUUAGCAAAAAGGAACAAAACAAAAAGUAACCAUAAUGGAAAGCUCAUCAUCAGGAAGUCAUAUUCGUCACAACUAUUGAAUUCAACUACACAAUGUCAUAUGGCUUUUAUUCAAGACUAUAUCCCCAAUAAUAUUCAAAUUCAUUUUUUAUUCCA